rnacentral:rRNA from 1 species
CGCGAAUUCGCCCUUCGGGGUGCAGCAGGCGCGAAAACUCUACAAUGCAGGCAACUGCGAUAGGGGGACAUCGAGUGGCAUCCACCUUGGGUGCCUGUCCAACCGUCUAAAAAACGGUUGUUAGCAAGGGCCGGGUAAGACCGGUGCCAGCCGCCGCGGUAAUACCGGCGGCUCGAGUGGUGGCCGAUAUUAUUGAGUCUAAAGGGUCCGUAGCCGGCUUUGCAAGUCCCCUGGGAAAUCCAGCGGCUUAACCGUUGGGCUUUCAUGGGAUACUACAUUGCUUGGGACUGGGAGAGGUAGGAGGUACUCGGGGGGUAGGGGUGAAAUCCUGUAAUCCUCCGGGGACCACCGGUGGCGAAGGCGUCCUACCAGAACAGGUCCGACGGUGAGGGACGAAAGCUAGGGGCACGAACCGGAUUAGAUACCCGGGUAGUCCUAGCCGUAAACGAUGCCCGCUAGGUGUCACGACGGUCGUGAAUCGUCGUGGUGCCGUAGGGAAGCCGCGAAGCGGGCCACUUGGGAAGUACGGCCGCAAGGCUGAAACUUAAAGGAAUUGGCGGGGGAGCAC